rnacentral:rRNA from 1 species
CAGCAGCAGCCACGGUAAUACGUAGGGUGCAAGCGUUGUCCGGAAUUAUUGGGCGUAAAGAGCUCGUAGGCGGCUCGUCGCGUCGGCUGUGAAAACCUGGGGCUCAACCCCGGGCCUGCAGCCGAUACGGGCGAGCUAGAAUUCGGUAGGGGAGACUGGAAUUCCUGGUGUAGCGGUGAAAUGCGCAGAUAUCAGGAGGAACACCGGUGGCGAAGGCGGGUCUCUGGGCCGAUAUUGACGCUGAGGAGCGAAAGCGUGGGGAGCGAACAGGAUUAGAUACCCCUGUAGUCCCUGUCUCUUAUAA